rnacentral:rRNA from 1 species
AGAGUUUGAUCAUGGCUCAGGACGAACGCUGGCGGCGUGCCUAACACAUGCAAGUCGAGCGGGGUGGUUCUGAAGGGCAACCGGAGGGAUCACCUAGCGGCGAACGGGUGAGUAACGCGUGGAUAACCUACCUCAAGGUCUGGGAUAACAGCUCGAAAGGGCUGCUAAUACCGGAUGUGGUGCAUAUGCUGCAUGGUAGAUGCACUAAAGGGGAAACCCGCCAUGAGAUGGGUCCGCGUCCCAUCAGCUAGUUGGUGGGGUAAAGGCCUACCAAGGCGACGACGGGUAGCCGGCCUGAGAGGGUGACCGGCCACACUGGGACUGAGACACGGCCCAGACUCNUACGGGGGGCAGCAGUGGGGAAUAUUGCACAAUGGGCGAAAGCCUGAUGCAGCGACGCCGCGUGGGCGAAGAAGGCCUUCGGGUUGUAAAGCCCUGUCUGGAGGGACGAAGUAAUGACGGUACCUCCGGAGGAAGCCACGGCUAACUACGUGCCAGCAGCCGCGGUAAU